rnacentral:rRNA from 1 species
GAGUUUGAUCGUGGCUCAGGAUGAACGCUGGCGGCGUGCCUAACACAUGCAAGUCGAACGGAGUUUAUGAGGAAGAAGCUUCGGCGGAAUUCUUAUAAACUUAGUGGCGGACGGGUGAGCGACACGUGGAGAACCUGCCUCUUACCGGGGGACAGCAGUUGGAAACGACUGAUAAUACCGCAUAAGCGCACGAGACCGCAUGGUCCUGUGUGAAAAGAUUUAUCGGUAAAGAGAUGGCUCCGCGUCUGAUUAGCCAGUUGGCGGGGUAACGGCCCACCAAAGCGACGAUCAGUAGCCGGCCUGAGAGGGUGAACGGCCACAUUGGGACUGAGACACGGCCCAGACUCCUACGGGAGGGCAGCAGUGGGGGAUAUUGCACAAUGGAGGAAACUCUGAUGCAGCGACGCCGCGUGAGUGAAGAGUAUUUCGGUAUGUAAAGCUCUAUCAGCAGGGAAGAAAGACCUCGAAAGAGGGAUGACGGUACCUGAGUAAGAAGCCCCGG